GGUCGUAGAGAUACGGCUUCCCUUCGGGGCGGGUUCACAGGUGGUGCAUGGUCGUCGUCAGCUCGUGUCGUGAGAUGUUGGGUUAAGUCCCGCAACGAGCGCAACCCUCGCCCCGUGUUGCCAGCGGAUUAUGCCGGGAACUCACGGGGGACCGCCGGGGUUAACUCGGAGGAAGGUGGGGAUGACGUCAGAUCAUCAUGCCCCUUACGUCCAGGGCUUCACGCAUGCUACAAUGGCCGGUACAACGGGAUGCGACGCGGCGACGCGGAGCGGAUCCCUGAAAACCGGUCUCAGUUCGGAUCGCAGUCUGCAACUCGACUGCGUGAAGGCGGAGUCGCUAGUAAUCGCGAAUCAGCAACGUCGCGGUGAAUGCGUUCCCGGGCCUUGUACACACCGCCCGUCAAGUCAUGAAAGUGGGCAGC
rnacentral:rRNA from 1 species